CAAAGAGGACACCUUGUUUUAGGGCUCUGCAGUUAAAAAUGUGGACUGUAGUUGGUUUUGGUCCUUUGCUUUUCUUGCUGCCUCUUGGAACAGUAUUUGUUGGUUCUUGGGGGGAGUCUGGCCUAUGGAACGAAACCGCCUCCAGGUCACUGGAGGAUCAACCACUCCUGCAUCAUUCCUUCACUACAGUCUCACCAGUGCCACUGCAGAGUCCACGUGAAACCAAUAUGACAGAAAACAGUGUCAGAAGAAGAAAAAGAAGCUCUUCCUCCGCUGACACUGAAGGCUCUGCUUUGCCUCCAAAGAUUCUGACUGUCUCUCAUCUUUCUUCUCUCAGAGAUCUGGUUUCAGAAAAUAAAAUCACAGGUUGUGCAAUUUUACCAUGCUUCCUCUUGCAACUCAAAACAGCAUGAUGAAAUCAAAAAAUGUUAUCUGUAAACUGAAGAUGACCUGAACCAAGUUGGCCUACUGUUUGCCAAUAGGUUUUGCUGUGUGUUACCCUGUUGUACUAUCGGAUGGGUAAAGAGCCAGAUCAUCAGCACUAUUCCACUGACUGAAAAAGUCUACAUUGGUAUUUUUCUACAUCCUGAGCAGACAUUUGUUAUCUUUAAAGAGUAACAACAUGUUGAACCAAAAUCAGUGUUAAAUACUGCUGUAUACCUUUGGUGGUAGGGACAAACCACCAGAUGGUAGCAAAAGAAAGGAUUUUGACUUGUGUGCUUCUUUGGAAAUCUGAUUAUUUAGCCAAAGCUCCACAUUUCAACAGACCCAUCUUCAUUCUGUGUUUGCAUUGCCUCAACACAGGAGGAGAGUUAUAAAGUUGAGUAACAUCUUUUUUGAACCCGUGAGGUAGACAGAAAUAAUGUUGAACGGGUACAAAAACUUUAAACUUUAAAAAUAGCAACUGUGGCCAUGAGGGAGAGAGAAGACAGACUGUGAGUGUGUUGUUAGCUGUUGGGAAGUUUACCACAGCCGCCCACGUCCCCUGAGUCAGUCCA